AUUCAUUUCCGAUCCAUUACUCUACAUACUUUGUACUCCGAAUUCUCAAGUUUGUUCACACUCAUUAUUUUUGUGUGUUCUUUCUAGUUUUCUGGUUACAGCUGGUGAUGGAUUCAAUUGCUAAUAUUAAUCGGUGUGAUUUGGACUCGCUUAUGAGUAUUGGAAUCGAGGGCAAGGCUGGCUGUACAAGAAGUACAAAGAAGUGCAGCAAGAAAAAGACUGUUGAUCCUGAUAUUAAAGUAGUCUUUGUUGAUUCUAACAUUUUUAAAUGGAAGGGUCUUAUCAAGUUGGGGUCCCUCUGAGACUCUUUAACAGGAGUGCCAGUUCCAGGUUUACUUUCUCUAUUCUGGAGCAGUAUACUAUACAGCCACCUCAAGUCCUGUUUUUGACUAAAAUAUUCACCCAAUGUUCACUUUAAGACGAUGCCAAAACCAGUCAAUAAGACAAGGCCAGAGUUGCAGUGAGCGUUAGCUGAGUUUGAUGCUGGGGUCCGUUUCUCACAGAACCGAAGCUGGAUCAAAAUAUGGACAAAUGUGAUCAUCUAACUCAUACUCCAUCACCAUCAAACGGUACUUAAUAUUAUAGAAAAUUUGUGCAGUGUCCAUCACUGGAUUAAAAUAUUUCUAUCCGUUGUAUAAGUAUGUUUCAUCCUUUAACUAUAGUAACAAUUUAAUAAUUAACAGAAAAGAACUGUACUGGCAUGAGACAAAAGGCUUUUAUUUUACUUCUUGUUUUAAACUUAUAAUAAUUAUACUCAUAGAUAUGGGUAUUCCA